AUAUAUAAACAAGAAUGUGUCCUCAGUACACGAAUGCCCCACUCGCACUAUCAUUUUCCAUGUUCAGUGGACCGUGAAAUUGGGGUUAAAACUCUAAUUUGGCAUUAAAAUUAGAAAGAUCAUAUCAUAGGGAACAUGUGUACUAAGUUUGAAGUCGAUUGGACUUCAACUUCAUCAAAAACUACCUUGACCAAAAACUUUAACCUGGAGCGGGACAGACGGACGAACGGACAGACAGACGGACGGACGGACGGACGAACGGACGGACGGACGAACGGACGGACGAACGGACGGACGGACGAACGGACGCACAGACCAGAAAACAUAAUGCCCCUCUACUAUCGUAGGUGGGGCAUAAAAAAC
rnacentral:lncRNA from 1 species